UAAUCCCCAGAAGAGGGAAUUGUAUAUUUUUAAAGACAGUUUCAUUUUUAUUCUCAAGAUUUGCUGCAGAAAGGUACUGGUCACUCCAGGAAACCACCUGCCCUGCUCCCCUCACCCCACCAUGACUUUACCCGCCCAGAUGCCAUCUAGAUCCACGAUCUGAGACGUGAAUUGUUUUCUGAAAGCUUUUUGCAAGCAACUGUAACCUUACUGAGCUUCAGCUUUAUUUCUUAGGAUGUUAUUGUUUGGACAUGGCCUAAUUUUAAAUACUUGACCCUAGUGGAUCCAUUCAUUGUUUCCAUUAGUGGGAAAGUCAUUCAAAAAAUAUUUACGUGCUCUUCUACUA
rnacentral:lncRNA from 1 species